rnacentral:rRNA from 1 species
GAUGAACGCUGGCGGCGUGCCUAAUACAUGCAAGUCGAGCGAAUGGAUUAAGAGCUUGCUCUUAUGAAGUUAGCGGCGGACGGGUGAGUAACACGUGGGUAACCUGCCCAUAAGACUGGGAUAACUCCGGGAAACCGGGGCUAAUACCGGAUAACAUUUUUAACCGCAUGGUUCGAAAUUGAAAGUCGGCUUCGGCUGUCACUUAUGGAUGGACCCGCGUCGCAUUAGCUAGUUGGUGAGGUAACGGCUCACCAAGGCAACGAUGCGUAGCCGACCUGAGAGGGUGAUCGGCCACACUGGGACUGAGACACGGCCCAGACUCCUACGGGAGGCAGCAGUAGGGAAUCUUCCGCAAUGGACGAAAGUCUGACGGAGCAACGCCGCGUGAGUGAUGAAGGCUUUCGGGUCGUAAAACUCUGUUGUUAGGGAAGAACAAGUGCUAGUUGAAUAAGCUGGCACCUUGACGGUACCUAACCAGAAAGCCACGGCUAACUACGUGCCAGCCGCCGCGGUAA